rnacentral:tRNA from 1 species
GGGCCUGUGGUGCAACGGAAGCACACUUCUCUUGCAAGGAAGUGAUCAGGGUUCGACUCCCUGCCGGUCCAC